rnacentral:rRNA from 1 species
GACGAACGCUGGCGGCGUGCUUAACACAUGCAAGUCGAACGGAAAGGCCCUGCUUUUGUGGUGUGCUCGAGUGGCGAACGGGUGAGUAACACGUGAGUAACCUGCCCUUGACUUUGGGAUAACUUCAGGAAACUGGGGCUACUACCGGAUAGGAGCUCCUGCUGCAUGGUGGGGGUUGGAAAGUUUCGGCGGUUGGGGAUGGACUCGCGGCUUAUCAGCUUGUUGGUGGGGUAGUGGCUUACCAAGGCUUUGACGGGUAGCCGGCCUGAGAGGGUGACCGGCCACAUUGGGACUGAGAUAGGGCCCAGACUCCUACGGGAGGCAGCAGUGGGGAAUAUUGCACAAUGGGCGGAAGCCUGAUGCAGCAACGCCGCGGGCGGGAUGACGGCCUUCGGGUUGUAAACCGCUUUCGCCUGUGACGAAGCGUGAGUGACGGUAAUGGGUAAAGAAGCACCGGCUAACUACGUG